CCCUUAGAUGUCCGGGGCCGCACGCGCGCUACACUGACGGAGCCAGCGAGUAUAAACCUUGGCCGAGAGGUCUGGGAAAUCUUGUGAAACUCCGUCGUGCUGGGGAUAGAGCAUUGUAAUUAUUGCUCUUCAACGAGGAAUUCCUAGUAAGCGCAAGUCAUCAGCUUGCGUUGAUUACGUCCCUGCCCUUUGUACACACCGCCCGUCGCUACUACCGAUUGAAUGGCUUAGUGAGGCUUCCGGAUUGGUUUAGAGAAGGGGGCAACUCCAUCUUGGAACCGAGAAGCUAGUCAAACUUGGUCAUUUAGAGGAAGUAAAAGUCGUAACA
rnacentral:rRNA from 1 species